UGCAAGUCGAACGGAUCCUUCGGGAUUAGUGGCGGACGGGUGAGUAACACGUGGGAACGUGCCCUUUGGUUCGGAACAACUCAGGGAAACUUGAGCUAAUACCGGAUGUGCCCUUCGGGGGAAAGAUUUAUCGCCAUUGGAGCGGCCCGCGUAGGAUUAGCUAGUUGGUGGGGUAAAGGCUCACCAAGGCUACGAUCCUUAGCUGGUCUGAGAGGAUGAUCAGCCACAUUGGGACUGAGACACGGCCCAAACUCCUACGGGAGGCAGCAGUGGGGAAUCUUGCGCAAUGGGCGAAAGCCUGACGCAGCCAUGCCGCGUGAAUGAUGAAGGUCUUAGGAUUGUAAAAUUCUUUCACCGGGGACGAUAAUGACGGUACCCGGAGAAGAAGCCCCGGCUAACUUCGUGCCAGCAGCCGCGGUAAUACGAAGGGGGCUAGCGUUGCUCGGAAUUACUGGGCGUAAAGGGAGCGUAGGCGGAUAGUUUAGUCAGAGGUGAAAGCCCAGGGCUCAACCUUGGAAUUGCCUUUGAUACUGGCUAUCUUGAGUACGGAAGAGGUAUGUGGAACUCCGAGUGUAGAGGUGAAAUUCGUAGAUAUUCGGAAGAACACCAGUGGCGAAGGCGACAUACUGGUCCGUUACUGACGCUGAGGCUCGAAAGCGUGGGGAGCAAACAGGAUUAGAUACCCUGGUAGUCCACGCUGUAAACGAUGAGUGCUAGUUGUCGGCAGGCAUGCCUGUCGGUGACGCAGCUAACGCAUUAAGCACUCCGCCUGGGGAGUACGGUCGCAAGAUUAAAACUCAAAGGAAUUGACGGGGGCCCGCACAAGCGGUGGAGCAUGUGUUUAAUUCGAAGCAACGCGCAGAACCUUACCACCUUUUGACAUGCCCG
rnacentral:rRNA from 2 species